rnacentral:sRNA from 1 species
UUAAUUUUGCUAACUAGAUCAAUGCAUCAAGAUUCAAAGUAGUUGAUCUUAUUGUUCAUAGAGUAGAAGACUAUGAAAAUCUUACCAACUUUAACAAAGAUUUAUUUCGCUGUCUUAAUCGAACGCAUGUGGCUUUGUUGUUCCAGUCUUUUAGUCCUUUGGAAAUAUUGGAAUAACGAAGAGUAGAAGAUUACAUUAAGAUGGUUAUGGAUUUCUAAUUUAUAUCUCACUUUGUUGAGAUAAAAGGGUUACAUUAUACGCCCAAAAACCUUAAGUUGAAGUUCAAGCAUGUAAAUUUUGUUGAUCAGAUGCUGCACAAUAGUUACGUUGAGGCCAUAACAUUGUAAAAUGUUAGCUCACUAGGCAAGUAGUUGUUUUUUUCUCUUUUGGAAUCUGAUGGCUUCUUUUAAUGGUUCUAAAAAAUGGUGAUUUUAACAAAUGGAUCUUAUCAUUUAUCUUGCUGUAUUUAACAAAUUGAUGCGGAUUUGAUUUUCUUAUUUUCAAUUACCUUUUAAAUUUCUGAUUUCUUGAUAAUUAUUAAUUGGUUAAUAUUAGUAAAAAUGAUGUUCCUUAAAAAUUUGUUCUUUAAUGUCUUUGAUUAAAUUGUAA